AUGUACGUGUCUACAAUGUUAAUGCAUCAAAUCCCAUUAGAACUCUGCAGUUAACUGUGCUUAGGAUAGAGUAAUACUGGGAUGGCUGACCUACUGGGAAGUCCUAGUGUUUUAUAUA
rnacentral:rRNA from 1 species